rnacentral:sRNA from 1 species
GGAUGUGAGGGCGAUCUGGCUGCGACAUCUGUCACCCCAUUGAUUGCCAGGGUUGAUUCAGCUGAUCUGGUUGGUUAGGUGGGUGCCCCCUUUCUCCCUCAAUGCUGCAUGUGCAUCUCUCCUGAAGCUGCACGCUCACUCAAAGAGGUCGACCAUCCCCGAUAGAGGAGGACCGUUCCUCAGUGCCUAUCAUCUUGUUUUGAAAUUCUGUAUUGUUUUUAUCGUUUUUUUAAUUCUCUUUGAAAAAAAAGUGCUAAGCAAUGUUGAUUGCUUACUU